rnacentral:lncRNA from 1 species
UAAAUAUUAAAAAAAAAGAAUCAAAUAGGUUGAAAAAGAAAAUUGGAAGUAAUUGUGAUUAUAAGAUGUUUGGUAUUGAAAAGUACGAUUGUGCCUCAAACGCAGCAAAUUUGCCGGGGGCUCUUUAUGUAGUUUUUUUUAAUUUUUUUAUUGUAAUUUCAUCUUUUCAAUGAAGUCAUGGUUGGCUCUUAUGUUACACUUACGGUUUCUCUACUUUAUUAUUUUUUUUAUAUAUAUAUAUUUUAAAAAUAUUGUAAUAAGUGUUGUGUAUUGAUUCGAACCCGAGACCUAUUAUCCAUAAGAACAUAGGUGUGCCAGUUGAGCUAAGUUCAUGUUGACGAUCAUGUUAUUUUUAGCUUUUAUCUAAAAAAAAUAAUAUUGUAUUAUGGAUAUAUAUAUAUAUAUAUAUAUAAUAAUUGGAAAAAAAUAGUAAAGUUUUAAAAAUAUUAUUGAUGAAUAUCGUGGUUUUUAAGUUUAUUAACGAGGGUUCGAAUUUUAUGCUUAGUACAAAAUAGUUUGUCAAUCAAAAUAUCAUUUUUUUUAUACGUUUUGUGAUCUUAUCUUAAACUCAAAAUUAUAAUUUAUUUUUCUUAAUAAACAAUGUCCAUCAAGAUAUCAUUUUUCUUGAUGGAGGGUUUAUGUUUUUUUUUUUUUUGUUGUCUUUGUACAUCAAGAAACCUUAGCCCCAUCAAGAAAAUUUUAAACCCGUCAAUAAAUCUAAAACAAAUGCAUUGAUUUUUUUUCGAUGAUGGCCAUUGCAAAUCAAGAAAAUUCAUUCCUUGAUGAGGCUCGUCCAUAAAAAAAACCUAUAUAACUUGAUCGACAUUGUUAGUCAACUUAUAUAUUAUCCUUCAUGUUUAUUGUUCAACAAGAAAUAGUUUUCUUGACGUUUGUGAACCAUCAACAAAACUAAUGGAACUUUUCCCAUCAACGAAAUAAAAAAUCUAUUUUUUAAAAAUGUUUUUUAGUAUUUUCUUCAACAAAAUAAGGAGACUUUUCUUGACGUACAUGAUCGUUAAGAUAAAUAUUGUAUCAAGAAAAAUAUUUUCUUGAAUGGUUUUUUGCCAUGACCAUCAAGAGAUCAAAAUUUGUGUGCGUCAAGAAAUAUCAAAUUUGUAGUACUAUUAUUUGAUGGGUUCUGAUGCCUGGGUAUUACAAAUGCUUGUGUUUGGAGGCAUAAAUUGGAAAUAUAUAUAUAUAUUUUAUAUCUGUGUUUGGGGUGUUGAUUUUGAAUUUAUCGAUUUAGUUAAUUUGUUUGGUUUUUUUAUUAAUUAUACGUCCUAAAUUUAUUUUGUAUCAAAAUUUCAAUUGAUUAUAUAUAUAUAUAUACAUAUUGUACAUCUAAUUCAAUUUACUGACUCUAUUGAUUUUAAUGAAAAUAAUGGUAAAAAAGAUAAAUGUUAAUAUUAGAUAAUAAUAAUUUUGAUUACAGUUACAUUAACAUAAAUGGUCUAAGUAUAAAUAUUACAAACUAUUCACAAAAUAUAACAAACCAUUUAAUUGGAUUAAGUUUACGAAAGUUAUAGCUAAGCGACAUUAAAAAUAAUCUAAUAGGUUUCAAAAUAAACAUAACAAAAAAGGUCAUGCAAAAAUGAAAGUUAUAGUUUUGUCUUUUUAUGACACACAUGCGACGUAUUUUAAUCAACUUUUAUCAAAAGAGGUCUAAAUAAAAAUGAGUAUUUUUUUUUUCAAAAAAUGUUUUUUCUUAAGUAAAUUCAAAUAAAUAUUUAAGUCUUCUAAUUAAAUUGACUAACAAAAUAGAUGAAAAAUGUUAUUAAACUAAAAACAAACAAUGAUAUAUAAUUACAAUUUUUACUAUGUUACCGAUAUAUUAAUAUUUGAUUUAUACUCGAGAUCAAAUUAUAUAGGCCAUUAAUUUUCACCUUGAAAAAAUAUAACAAAAUAAACAAAAUCUCCUAAGGAAAUAUUAAGUUUAAAUAAAGAAUAGAAAAGAGAUAAUUAUAAAAUGAUCUAAUAAUAAUAUUUAUAAAAAAAAACUCCAAAAGAAAAUAAAAUAAAAAAUAAAAAAUGUGUAUUUUAAAAAAUAUUAUUGUGAUUAAAUCAAAUGCAUGUAUGGAAUGACUCAGAUAAAAAAGUUUUCAAAAAUUCAUUUUUAUUAAUUUUUCAAGGUUUAUAGCAGUAGCAAAAAUGGUGGUCGAAAGUUCGUCGACUGAGUUUGUCAUAAAUCACACCUAGUGGUUGACCUACAAUGGCGCUAGGGUGGUGUUUGGGGUUGGUCGAUGAAUUUUCUAAAUUGAAUUAGAAAAAAACGUAAUUCAUGCGCUUGAAUAGUGUUUACUAUUCAAUCCCAUGGAAAAGAGUGUAAGAAGCCUUAGUGAAGACACUUGUUGAUCAAUAAUGAAGAUGAUGAACGGUCACCAAUUUUAAGACGAUUGGUUGGUCAUCGACCAUCAUAGCAAUCGGUCGUCAAGGGUUAUGGCUAUGAUCACUUGUUAAUAGGCAUGAGAUCGAUAAUUAACAAUAACGAUUGAUUAUCAUCGAUCAAGAUGUUCACCCCACGACAAUAACGUCCAAAGUUAUAGGUCACAAGCAAUCAAGAUCGAUCACCGAUGAAUCAAGACGAUGGAUAAUCAAUGGUCAAGACAAUCUAGAGCCGACUAUCAAAAUCCAAAGCCGACAGUUAAAACUAUCGAUUGUUGUGAUCGAAGAUUGGUCAUGAUCGGUUAUCAUGGUUGAUCGUGAGGUUGGCUAACAAUUGUUGCCAACAAUUAUUGAUAAGAUGUUGAAGUGAAAUUUUUUCUAAAAAAUAUGACAUUCAAUAAUUAUAUAUAUAAAAAAACAUAUUCCAAGCCCAUGAGUUUGGAAUCUUAAUUUCAAAAAUUUUAUUCCAAGCGGAGAAAUAUGUGUUUGACUUCAAAUGUCAAACCCCACCAAUUCUAAACCCACUCCUAGGGGGUGUUUGGCACACAAGUUCGUAAUCAAAUGCCUGAAAAUCAAUUGCCCGUGUAUUACAAAUGACUGUGUUUGGGGUGCAGGGUUUGGAAAUCUGGAUUUUCUUAUGCUUGUGUUUGGGGUGCUAAUUUUGAAUUUCUCGUGUUUAGUUAAUUUAUUUAGUUCUUUUUAUUAAUUGUACGUCCUAAAUUUAUUUUUGCAUCAAAUUUUUAAUUAGUUUUUGAAAAAUUGUAAUUGAUAAUCAUUUCAACAAUAAUAAUUAAGGAUAUAACAAAAUUUUAAAAAAAUUGCAAAUAUAGCAAAACCAUCACUGAUGGACUUGUAUCGCUGAUAGACCAAUAUUUGCAACAUGAUAGACUUAUAUUAUUGAUAGAAUUUGACAAAUUUUGCUAUAUUUGCAAAUUUUUUAAAAGGUUGUUGUAUACUUAAUUAUUUUGAAUCUAAUUGCUAAAUUUGAAACUAUCCUUUUAUAUAUAUAUUGUGCCUCUAAUUCAAUUUUUGGACAGUUUUGAUUAUAAUGACAGUAAUAUAAAAACGAGAAAUUUUAAUAUUAAAUAACAAUAAUUUUAAUAAUGUUGAUUACAAUUGCUAACAUUGGUGGUUUAAGUAGGAAUAUUAACUAUUCACAAAAUAUAACAAAUUACAUAAUCGAGUGGAGUUUAUGAAAGUUUUAGUUAAGCAUUGUUAAAAAUGAUAGAACUAAGUCAUGCACAGCGGAAAAAGAAUCGAAUUUCUACCAUAAUUGCCACAAUUAACAUGUCACCAUAAACUAAUCAAAUUAGGGUUUUAAGAAAUAUUACCUUUGAAGCUUUCAAAAGGUUUGAUAUCUUCUUACCAAUUCUACCCGAGACCACCACUAGUACUCAACUGCUAUCCUCUAGACAAAGAACCGGGUUGUGGGACCCAAUUUUGGUGUAGAAAGUAAUGGAGAUAAAAUGAGAUUGGAAGCUUUCUUUUUCUUUUGUUGAGAUGAUGAAAAUGAUAAAAGAGGGAAAACUUUUUCAACAUUUGAAAACACCUCUAUUUAUAACCUAAUUACAUGAAAAAAUGCAUGCAAUUCAUUUGCCAAAUCUCAACACCUAAUGUUCCACUAACAAUUAGUGGAACUUAGUGGGCUAGGUGUCUAUAUCUCAUAUAGCCACAUAUCCCACUAAGAGUUAUUGGGAUUAUCCAACAAAAUGUUGGAUUUUCCCACUAACUUAGUCCAAGGGUAAAAUGGUCAUUAGAUAUUUCUAGUCAAAAGUCAAACUUUGACUUUUCUUAGUCAAAAGUCAAUAUUUUGACUUUUUACCAUUUUGUCCGUCUUGACUAAUUCCAACCUUCCGAGCAUGAAUCCACAUUCAUUUUUCCAAAAUUCAAAUCACAUUUGAAUAUAAGGCCGGUCAAAGUUUGACUUUUCAAAGUCAAAAGUCAACAUUUUGACUUUUUACUAUUUUUGACCAAUUCUAUCAAUUCCGAGCUUCUUAGUAUGAAUCCGCAUUCAUACUUAUAGUAUGUAAAACAUAAAGCUCUAUUUCUAAUUAGAAGACCGACGACUAUAUCACUAUAUUUGUCGGUUUCCCUUUCUUCUCCCAAUUCGAACAAUUCGACUUAUUUCAUCACACUGUUCUAAGUUUAAUCCAUAUGAGCUAGCAGAGGAACCUAAUGGACCUAUAGAUCAUGGCUCCAACGAUUCAAGAUUAACUAGCUAAACUCUUUUAAACCGAGUUAAUUAACAUUCGUUAACUAACGGGUCAUUCCACUAAAGUCCCGUAGUUGCACUCCCCUCACUAUAUAUAUAUUUGUGUCCAUUUGAUAAAACCAUAAUCAGCAAGUUAAUCAUUCACAGGUUGCUCGUAACCUUGGCUGGGUCAAAAUACCGUUUUACCCCCAAGAUUACAUCUUGCUCCUUAAGUGCCACUAAUCCACUAUUGAACAAUUGGUUUAAGGUUCAACCUAUAAACUUAAUCCCUCUCGGGUCAAUGAGAGGGUGGGGCCCCUUGUUCAAGACUUGGAUUCAGUGCUUAAGAGAACAACCUAUCUACUAACCCUAAAGCGGGUAGGAGUGAAUUCCAUCUUGUACCCUAUGUUCCCAGCUAUCCACAUGAUCUUACCCUUGAAAUGAGAGGCUUAUUGGGCCAACGCUGAUGAGCUGCCCUCACCUAUGCAGAUCUAAGGAUAAUCUCGUGUGAACAUAAGUUCAUAGUUAACUCAGGAUUAAGACUAAGUUACCUAGGUCAUCAAUAAUUGAGAUAGUCGGUUUUAAACAGUAAACGGUGUUAUAACGUAAAAAUGACUAAUUCAUGGUUCAGUCUUAUGUAAACAUUUUACAUAGGAUGUCCCUACUUUCAUGUCUCUACAUGAACGAUUAGGAUCACCUCGUUUGUACUACAAAGUGGGCCGCAUCCAUAGUUUCUCUAAAUAAGGCGCCCAACCUUUAUUUCAUAUACUAUAGACUAUUUAGGCUAUAUACUCGAACUUGAUCCACGUUUAUGUUUACACAUAAAGUUCAAGUUUAUUCAAAAAAUAGCAUUGGAACUUGAUUUAUUGGAUUUAAGAUUAUAAUAUUUAAUUUCUCAAUAACAACUUUAUUGAACAGAAUAUGAUUUACAAACUACGAGUUUUAGGACAAAAAAUUCCAACAAAAAAUUAUCUAAUAUGUUUCAAAAUAAGCAUAACAAAAAAGGUCAUGCAAUAGUGAAAGAAGCAGAGUUACAUUUUGCCAUAAUUAUGGUUGUAUUUUAUGGCACACAUGUAUUUUAAAACCACUUUUGUCAAAGGAUAUCUAAAUAAAAAUGAUUUUUUUUUAAAAAAUAUUUUUUAUUAAGUCAAGCUGAAUAAGUUUUAGAUUUUGUAGUUAAAUUGACUAAAUAAAAAAAAUGUUAUUAAACUAAAAAUAAGCCAUGAUAUAUAUGUGAUAUAUAAUUACAAUUUUCACUAUAUUAUCAUCAAUUUUCACCUUGAAAAAAUGUAACAAAAUAAACAAAAUCUCAUAAAAUGGUGGAAAGAUUAAUUUAAAAUAAAGAAUAGAAAAGAAACCAUGGUAGAAAAUGAUCUAAUAAUAAUAGUUAUAUAAAAAACUCCAAAAGAAAAGAAAAUAAACAAAUGUGUAUUUUUAAAAAGUCAUUAUUGGGAUUAAAUCAAAGGCAAACGUAGAAUGACUCAGAAAAAAAAGUUGUUCAAAAAUUAAUUUUUACUAAUUUUUUAAGGUUUGGAGCAGUUGCAAAAUUGACGGUUGAAAGUUCGUCAACCGAGUUUAUCAGAAAUAACACCUAGUGGUCAUCGACAAUGGUCACGAGGGUGGUUUUUGGAGUUGGUAGAUGAAAUUUCUAAAUUGAGUUAGAAAAAAAAUGUAAUCCAUGAGUUUGAAUAAUGUUUACUACUCAAUCCCAUGAGAAAGAGUGUAUGAAGCCUUGACGAAGACGGUCGUUGAUGGUGAAAGACGAUCAACGAUCGCCAAUUUGAUGAUUGGUUGGUCGUCGACCAUCACGAGAGCCAUCAAGGGUUAUGGCUAUUGAUCAUUAACCAUCACUUUACUCGCUUGUUAAUGGCAUGAGAUCGAUAAUUAACGAUAACGAUUAGUUGUCAUCGAUCAAGAUGUUCACCCCACGACAAUAAUGUUCAAAGUUGCAGGUCACAAGCAAUCAAGAUGACUGGUCACAGACGAUCAAGAAAAUUGAUAAUCAACAAUCAAAAUGAUCCGAAGCCGAUGGUUAAAAUAUCAAUUGUUGUGACUGUCGAUCGAUCAUGAUGGGACAUCGUAGUUGAUCAUGAAGUUGGCUAACAAUUGUUGUAUAGGUCUGACUUCAAAUGCCAAAUCCCAUCAUUCCAACGGGGAGAUUGUGUCGAAAUUUAUAUAGACUUUUUUGAAAAGUAUUUUAUCAAUAUUAGUAGAUUAACACAUGAUCUAGGUUCGAGUAAAAAUCUAGAACGAAUGUGAUAAAAUUAUUUAUUUGAUUUGAAAAUGUGAAAAAAAAAAACAAGAAUAUUGGGGAAUUGACAAAAAUAGGCCAAAAAUGGGGUAGAAAAAGAGUUUUAGGAUUGAUUGUAAAAAAGUUGAGAUUUAGGAUAAAUUGGAGGUGAAAUGACGAAAAUACCCUCUUUUAUUUUCCUUCCUCUUCUUUUUCCUUUUCUUCAACCCAAAGACAGAAGGUCGUUCAAAAGAAAAACGUAAACCAGAGCAUUUGAACUCUUCCGCGUCUGCAGUUACCCCCUUCAACUCUCUCCCGCCUCCGAUGAACGUUUUUCUCUUCCGUCCAUUUCUUCUCCACUUCCAUCCAUUUCUUCUCCACGACUCUCUGCUAUAUUUUCCGAUUUCAACUUGUUCACCGAACGUCUCCAUUUCUUCUGCACGGGUCUCUGUUUUAAUUUGGACUUCAACUCCGGCGGACGCUUCUCCACUUCCAUCCAUUUCGAUUUCAGGUUUGUUUUCACCGGACCUCUCCAUUUCUUAUCCACUCCUCUACGUUGGCAGUGCCAUAUCCAUCAUCUUUGAAGUCAAGUGAGUAAUAAAAUCUCAGUUUUUUUUUUUAGAGUUAGUCUGUUGUAGCUUAUCUAUUAUUACAGUAUUCCAUCUUGUUUGUUUAAGUUGUCUGUUGAGAUGUGAGUUUUUUUGUUUUUGGCACAUUUUAGAGAAGAAAUGCAUGUCGUAUGCACACAGACAUAGAGAACCGUGUGAGCCAUUCUGUUUUUAGGAAGAAAAACCAUUUCCUUUGCAAUGUACUGUAAUAAUAGAAAAACCAUACCUUGGAGUUUAGAACUUGAAUUCGAACAUAUAUUUGGUAUCCCAUAUAAACUCUGCAAAGCUACCAGUACAAUAGAAUAUCAUAAGCUGCAUUGUUGAAAGACCAUUUCCUUUGCAAUUUGUUGAAAGACAUUAUCAUAAGCUGCAUUGUUGUUCUCUACUUUGUUAAUGUUUUUAGUGAUGUAGUUCCAAUAGAAUACAAUCUUUAGAAUGCAUGUUUAGCUAGUCUAGCUAGUCUACUAGGUGUUAAGGCUUUAGGGUUAGCAAUUUUAUUAGACUUAGCUACUUUGCCUUGAAUUUUUCCAUCAUCUCGCACCUAUCAGCACCUAUCUCGCACCUUCCAAAAUUUUGAGUAGAAGUCCUAAGAUGAGAGUGUUAACCUUCCUAAACCGUUUAGAAUGCAUGUUUAGCUAGCAAUUUUAUUAGACUUAGCAACUUUGCCUUGAAGUUUUCCAUCAUCUCGCACCUAUCAGCACCUAUCUCGCACCUUCCAAAAUUUUGAGUAGAAGUCCCAAUAUAAGAGUGUUAACUUCCUAAACUGUUUAAAAUGCAUGUUUAUCUAGUCUACUAGGUGUUAAGACUUUAGGGUUAGCAAUUUUAUUAAACUUAGCAACUUUGCCUUGAAGUUUUCCAUCAUCUCGCACCUAUCAGCACCUAUCCCUCACCUUCCAAAAUUUUGAGUAGAAGUCCCAAUAUAAGAGUGUAAACUUCCUAAACCGUUUACAAUGCAUGUUUAGCUAGUCUACUAGGUGUUAAGGCUUUAGGGUUAGCAAUUUUAUCAGACUUAGCAACUUUGCCUUGAAUUUUUCCAUCAUCUCGCACUUAUCAGCACCUAUCUCACACCUUCCAAAAUUUUGAGUAAAAGUCCCAAUAUAAGAGUGUUAACUUCCUAAACCGUUUAGAAUGCAUGUUUAGCUAGUCUACUAGGUGUUAAGGCUUUAGGGUUAGCAAUUUUAUUAGACUUAGCAACUUUGCCUUGAAUUUUUCCAUCAUCUCGCACCUAUCAGCACCUAUCUCGCACCUUCCAAAAUUUUGAGUAGAAGUCCCAAUAUAAGAGUGUUAACUUCCUAAACCGUUUAGAAUGCAUGUUUAGCUAGUCUACUAGGUGUUAAGGCUUUAGGGUUAGCAAUUUUAUUAGACUUAGCAACUUUGCCUUGAAUUUUUCCAUCAUCUCGCACUUAUCAGCACUUAUCUCGCACCUUCCAAAAUUUUGAGUAGAAGUCCCGAUAUAAGAGUGUUAACUUCCUAAACCGUUUACAAUGCAUGUUUAGCUAGUCUACUAGGUGUUAAGGCUUUAGGGUUAGCAAUUUUAUUAGACUUAGCAACUUUGCCUUGAAUUUUUCCAUCAUCUCGCACUUAUCAGCACCUAUCUCGCACCUUCCAAAAUUUUGAGUAGAAGUCCCGAUAUAAGAGUGUUAACUUCCUAAACCGUUUACAAUGCAUGUUUAGCUAGUCUACUAGGUGUUAAGGCUUUAGGGUUAGCAAUUUUAUUAGACUUAGCAACUUUGCCUUGAAUUUUUCCAUCAUCUCGCACCUAUCAGCACCUAUCCCUCACCUUCCAAAAUUUUGAGUAGAAGUCCCAAUAUAAGAGUGUUAACUUCCUAAACCGUUUAGAAUGCAUGUUUAGCUAGUCUACUAGGUGUUAAGGCUUUAGGGUUAGCAAUUUUAUUAGACUUAGCAACUUUGCCUUGAAUUUUUCCAUCAUCUCGCACUUAUCAGCACUUAUCUCGCACCUUCCAAAAUUUUGAGUAGAAAUCCCGAUAUAAGAGUGUUAACUUCCUAAACCGUUUACAAUGCAUGUUUAGCUAGUCUACUAGGUGUUAAGGCUUUAGGAUUAGCAAUUUUAUUAGACUUAGCAACUUUGCCUUGAAUUUUUCCAUCAUCUCGCACCUAUCAGCACCUAUCCCUCACCUUCCAAAAUUUUGAGUAGAAGUCCCAAUAUAAGAGUGUUAACUUCCUAAACCGUUUAGAAUGCAUGUUUAGCUAGUCUACUAUAUUGAAACACCUUGAAGUUCAAAAAAAGGUUAGGAAUCAAAGUUUGUUUAACAUUUUCAAAGUUUGUGGUACAUUUUCAAAGUGUUUCUUACCAAUACAUUUUGACAUUUCCAAAGGGUGAAGAAGGAGACUGCACGGGAGUUGAAGGUCAUGAUGCCCAGACUGAAGAUGUUGACACACCCGGUACACCUUCUUGGUUGAGGAUGCCCAAGGAGGAUGACACAAGUGAUGGGGUGAAACACGUUGAACUUCAAAAGCAGGUUAGGAAUCAAAGUUGUGUAGUGGGGUGAAAAUCAUCCUUACUAAUGCUUUAUCCUUAGUAAUGCAUUUUGACCUUCCAUAGGGUGUCGAAGCAAACCGCACGGAGGAUGACACAAUGGACGAGUUGGAUAAGAAGGUUCAUAUUGAUUUGGAGGAGCCAAUAGACGUCGUUGACGAUUUGAACGAGGAAAUUGGAGUAAAAAGUCUUACUUAUUUUGAUUCAGACGUCAUGGAGAUAGAACCAUUAUCCACUAAACGACCACAUGUUCGGCCCGCACAUAGCAAGCGUGCAAGUGUAUACUUGUCAACCCCCUUCACAGCUUUAGAUAAACGGACUACAAAAUCAACCACCACCACCUCUCAGUCUCAACCAUCCGUCUAUGAUCCUAUGCAAAAAAUACCUGACGCCCAUUUAGAUCGACUCAGAGCUUGGAUCACAGACAAGCGUACGAAAGAUGAGGUGCAUGAAACUUUUCACGGGAAAAAAUCGAAGGAGUUUUUCAGAGACUUGUUCAUGUGUCGUCGGUGGUUGGCGGAUGAGGUUAGAACUUUUCUCAUUAUUUCUUAUUUACAGUUUUAGAGCACUUAGUACCUUCAAGAAGUUGGUUUGAUCGCAUAACCGAAUUAAAUGUUUUAUUUUGUUUCUAUUAGCAUUUGGAUGCACUCUUUCUUCUCAUUCGCUUCAACAUUAAGACAGCCAUGAUACCUUCUGCUCAAAACUUCACAACUGUAGACACACUAUUCAUGGUUUGUACUCGCAACCAUACUUUAUGUACUGAAUUUGCUUUUGAUAUUUGUCUUAUUGUCUCAUUGUAUACAUGCAUGUGUGUUUUUUUUUCCUUCCAGCGACUAUUAGUUGCGAAGUGGCCUGAAUAUCAAGAAUGUAUUAAAGAGAAUCGACCAUUUCACUGGAAGGAGGAGUAUCGGUUGGUUGACUAUGUUGUCGGAUCAAAACAAGACUGUCAAGAUCCUUGGGUGAAUGUUGAUUACAUUUACUCUCCAUUCAAUAUCCAUGGCAAUCAUUGGAUUCUAUUAUGCUUGGACUUGGUACGUUGUCAAGUUAAGGUAUGGGAUUCGCUUCCGUCGCUUACGAGUGCCGAAGAUAUGAGAAGCAUAUUAGUGCCAAUUCAAGAGAUGGUGCCAAAUUUGCUCGAUACUACUGGAUUCUUUGUUAGGAGAGGCGGAUCAUCAACACACAAGGAACCUUGGCCACUUGUCAUUGUCGACUCCAUUCCACUUCAACGCAACAAUAGUGAUUGUGGUGUAUUUACAAUUAAGUAUUUCGAAUAUGAAGCUUCUGGUUUAGAUGUAGCUACAUUAUGUCAAGAAAACAUGUCAUAUUUUAGAAAACAAUUGACAUUUCAAUUAUGGACCAACAAUCCCAUGUAUUGACUUUUAGUUCCAACUUUUGAAGGAAUUGUAUAUGUUCCAAACUAUGUACAUAAAUAGUUUUAUAUAAUGGAAUGAAUACCAUUUUUGUUUUAUGGUAUGCAAUUUUUAUUUCAUUCUCUUGGAAAAUUGUAAAGUGUGCAGAACUUUUAUAUAAUGUACAACAAUGCAGGUGAGAGCAACAUUCUCAUGCUCUUAGAAUUAGGAAGACCAAUUUAUCCCACAAUGUAUGAAAAUUUCACCUCUUUGAAUGCUAAUUGUUUUUGGCAGGUGUCUUAGAAACAUUUUUGGAUUUCUAAUGUAUGAAUAUAGACAUUCUUGAUGUGUUACCGGUGAUGGAGCAGAGGUUUGUGGUGGCUGUGGAACUGCAGAAGCAAUGGGUUCAGGUUCUGCAUCAAAAUCAAUUAAACUUCCAGAAGGUUGCUGAUAGCUCUGUUAUCUCAGCAAGAGCCUCCUUUGUAUGACGGUGGUAAAGUAUUGGACUUGUUCGUUGCAUACAUUAACAGGUUAUGGUAUGAUAAAAUGUGGGGGAUGUAAGUUUACCAUGAUACAAGAGUGGUCUAGAGAAUUAUGCUUGGUAUUCAAUGCCCAUGGAAAUAGUUUUAGUUAGCUCCUAGUGAAAAAUGGAUUUAUAUAUAGCCUCACGUAGAAGGUUUUCAUUAUAAAAACAUCUUAUGUAGGAACAAUUGAUCCUCAUUACCAAUAGUAGCAUUUUGAUCUGUGUCUUGUUCUGUACCUUUGUUGUUAACCAACCGACUUUAUACAUUACUUAUUAUUAGCUCAGUCUUGCUACUACCUGAACUUUCAGAGUCAACUCAUCGACAUUAACUGUCACUCCUUUGAGUGUUAUUAAUUAUUGUUUUUUCCAUUGAGAUUACUAUGCUUGAAGAGGUGGUUCAUAUGCUUGAAGAUUUGAAUCAUUACUGCUGCAGUAGCAAAAGGAGAGCAGCUAUUGAGUUCUAAAGCACACAAUAUUAUUUACUUCUCACGGAUUGUUCAAACAUUAUUCGUUGCAGCUUUGGAGUUGUUCUAAUGAAAGUACCAACAUAAAAGAAGCCCAUUUUCUAAGACAACUGCCAUGAAAACAACAGGAAAGCAGAAUGAGAUAUCUAAAAGGUAAUCUGAAAGAGAUGGUAGAUCCCAGCAUAUCAUAGGCUCAGGUGGAGAACGCAGUCAAAGUGGUAAGGAUCGCACUUCGCUGCACGACUAAGAUUCCAUCUACAAGGCCCUUCAUGCAAAUGGUGGUUCAUAUGCUUGAAGAGGCUGAACCUUGUAAAAACUAAAAGUAGCAAAAGCUUUGCAUUUAUUACUACUGCACACUUUAAGUAAUCAGCAAGAGGCUUCAAAUGCAGCAAGGGCUGAACCUUUAAGUAAUCAGCAAGGGCUGAACCUUGUAAAAACUAACAGAGGCUGAACCUUGAAGAUGAAUGUAAAAACUAAAAGUAAUCAGCAAGAUUUGCAUCAUUAAUACUGCAGUAGCAAAAGGAGAGCAUUUAUUGAGUUCUAAAGCACACAAUAUUGUCAUAAUAGGAUUUCAAGUCUUUCUCAAAAAGCUUGAAAUGCCAAAGGAGUAAAUAUUCUAUAAACAGUUCACAGUAGGAUAAAUAAAAAGAGAAGGAAAGUCUUGAAGUUGCAGAAGAAAAGUCUUCAACUUAGAAUUGUCAGUGAGAUGACUUUAGUGAUCUUGCAAACAACACAGGACACAAUUUUAUAAGCAUCUUCCACCUGCAUUAAAAAAAUGAACCUUUUUUACAUCGUGAUCAUGCAAACAACGCAAGCACAAACCAAGCAAGUAUAAAACUAUUACUACGUACCAAGACGGGUACUAAUCUUGUAUGCUCGACUUCUGGAUGUAUGAAAUUGGAUUGGUACACGUUAAUCUAUUGUGGCCUGUUUCUUUACAUCGACCACAUUUAUGCAAUUUUGGUGCUUCACCGACACUUGGAAUCCUCUUUUUCUUCGGUCGACCAACUCUUUUGACUACUUUCGGAGGUAAGACAGUCAUAUGUACAUAUUCUUCGGUUGUCUUCCAUUCCGACUGAUUCCCAACUGGGUAGACGGCCUCCGAAUAUGCUGCCAACAAACAUUCAUUAGUGUAAUAGUUAGCACAUAAGCUAUAAACAUUUAUAUUGCGAUCCCGUGCAACAGCAAUGGCAUGUGCGCAUGGUAGUUGCUCAGCUUGAAACUCCUUACAAGUGCACUCUUGAGUAUGAAGAUUUAUGACCUCCUCUUUAUCUAAAUCUUUAACAUGGAAUUGGUAACAAUCAAUUGGGUUGACUUUCAUUGUCAAAGCUCGUUCUUGUUUCUUUUGUAGAACUAACUCUGCCCAUUUAGUCAAUGUAGACGUCACUUUAAUGCCUUCUUCUCGACGCUCCCAAAACCAACGUUGUAGCAAAGCUCGAACAUGUUCAAGGAAUGAAGCAAUAGGCAAAUCUCUAGGUUCUUUCAGUAUAGAAUUCAUGGACUCUGCUAUAUUUGUUGUCAUCAUAUUAUAUCGUCUUCCUGGACAGUGAAAACGAGACCAACGUGUUAUUCCAACAUCGUUUAAAUAUUUUCCUGAAUCAUUAGGAAAUGCAAGAAUACUUCUCCACGCUUCUGAGAACGUUGAUUCACGGUAUGUUCUAGAUGCAUUGUAAAACAAAGUAGCUAUAGUGUCAUUCUUGUAUUUAUCAUUCAAAUUUUGAGUCAAGUGUUGGACACAAAGUCCAUGGAAUGCGGAGGGAAAAACCGAUGCAAUACACUUAGAAAAACAUGUUUUUCGAUCUGUCACGAAGCCUAGAUUAGGCACCUCUCCUAUUGCACCUUUCAAUUUCUCUAAGAACCACUGUAUUGAAGCAUCUGUUUCUCUGUCCACCACUCCAAAGGCAAGAGGAUAAAUUUGAUUGUUACCAUCCAAGCAAACAGCAACUAUCAACUGACCCCGAUAUUUGUUCUUAAGGAAUGUUCCAUCCAUGACUAUAACCGGUCUAAUGCAGUUUAAGAAUCCUCGAACACAUGGACCAACAGCCAUAAAAAGAUAUUUGAAGAAACGAUUAUCUUCAAGUUCCAUGAGAAAUAUUGUACCUACAUUUGCAAGUUUGAGAGCUUCACCAUAUCUAAGCAAUAGAUUAUAUGACUCUUCAGGACACCCGCGCACUCGUUCAUACGCAUUUUCUCUAGCGCGCCAUGCUUUUUCAUAACUCAUAUUUAUGCCAUAGUCUUGCCUCAUGUCUUCUAUGAUAUCACGUGGUUUGUAUAGACGACCGACUCCCUUGUUGAACUUUGACUUUAUUAAUUCUCCAACAACCCAAGAUUUUGCUUGCCUAUGGUCACGAUUCAAAACGUCAAGAGAACACGAAUGAACUUUGACAUACUUUUUAAUCUUAAAUAUAUUUGAAUCCUUCAAUCUCAUCGCUCGCAGUCUCCAACCACACUUGUUGUCAAUGCAUCUAACAAAGAGAACCUCUUUUGUAGACUUUUUUACUACAAACUGAAAAUUUUUUUUCAUUGCCAAGACACUUAAUCUCAUUGACAAAUCUUUUUUGGAAAAAAAUAUUUGUCCUACAUCAAACUCCUCACUUGUAGAGCUUUCUUCGGACCAAUCAUUCCUGUCUGUCUUCAACUUUUGGCUAGAAGAGCUGUAACGAACUUUAGAUUUUCCUUUGCAAUCUUUUGUAGGACCAUCUCUAUGUUGUGGGAUGUCAAAUGAUUCACUAUUCAUCUCUCUACUGGCUCCCAUGUAAAAGUCUCAUCUUUCGAAUCAUAUGACUCAUAUGAUUCCCAUAUAGCCGAAGUGGUCCCUAUCACGUUAUCACACAAGCCAACUUCAACUUCACGAACAUGAACUUCAUUCUCAUUUAAUGUAUCCAUUACAAUUGGAGGAUGAGGGUUUAAGUUAUGAGCUUGGUUGCUGCCAGAUACUGAAUUGUAAUCUUUGCUUAACACUUUUUUGCUUUGAUUACUUUUAGGCUCAAAUGAGACGUAUAAAGGGACCUUUAAUGGAUUUUCACUAAGAAGAUAAAACUUCAAAUCACGGUCAUUGCUUAACUCAAAUGUAGGAGCUUCGUGUUCCACUUUUAUCUCAUAUAUGCAUCUUAUCAUUACGUCGAACUUUGAAGGGUCAACUUCUGCAAGGUCAUAUAAUUCUGCCUGUAAAUCUUUAUGUGUUAUUUCUUUACUGACAACGAUGCCUUUUAACAUGCCUCCUUCGUAUUUUCUUCGCCUCUCAUCCCACAUACCACCGUAACGCACUAACAUGGGAACAUGUGACAUCCUUAAACCACCUUAUACUUUUCAAUUGCUGCAAAAAAUGAUUUGAAGUUAGAAUUUGACAUAUCACAUAAACAAAGUUUAUUAAAAAACAGUAGGUAAAUACUAAAUAAAACGUGCAUAGUCACACCCUACAUGUUUACGAUAUUGACAGCUACAAAAUGUUUAGGAUAUUGCGAGAUACAAAAAACAAUAGCUAAAAGUCACCCUAAAUCAAUUCAUUUCAGAUUAAACAUUUCAAUUUAAGAACCUGCAAGAUGUCUGCGAGAUGUUUGCGAGAUGUCUACCAGAUGUUUGCGAGAUAAAAUAAUAAUAAUGAUAAAUUGCUAACAUCAUUUGAAACAUCUAUAAAGCAACCUUAAAUCAACCCUAAAUCAACUUGAAACAAUAAAAAAUAAUAUUUGAUUUAUACAUUUAAGAUGCAAAAAUAUAUAUACAUAUAACACAACACAAUUCAGAUUCGGAUUUAAAAAUUAAAACAAACCACAAUGCGUGAGAUGUUCGCCGGAGUAGAUGAUGAACGACACCGGAGUAAAGCGGAAAGUUGACAAACUUUUGAGAGAGGAGAAGAAUCGCAAAUGGGUUUUUCUUUUUUCUUUUUCCUUUACAUAAUCUAUGAGAAGGAGAAAUGCUUCUUUUUUCUUUACGUAACCUAUGAGACUGCAACAGAAGGAAUUUUUUUUUUUUUUUUCCCUUUACGUAAUCUAUGAGGAGAGGACAAGAAGGCUGCCUUCGAAAUUCUGUUUUUUUUUUCCUUCAUGUGAAUGACAUUGAAGAGAGAGAGAGGGGUUGGAAAAGAAGAGAAGAGCAAAUGUGAAUUGAAAUUAAAUGAGGGUAUUUUCGUCAUUUCACCUCCAAUUUAUUUUUUUGCCUAUUUUUGUCAAUUCCCCCAAAUGUUGAGAAAAUUUAUUAUUUCAAUUCCUAUGAUACAUAACAGAAGGAGGCUCACUCCGUUGACAGAGUUUCGCAAAACACGAAAUCUCACAUUUGUCUUCGUUCCAUCUCUCACCGGCGGAAAAUGUUGCGGUCAAUUCUCAGAGCAACAUCUGCAGCCUCCAAACACCACAUCUGCAAUCGAAACCCUGCGCCCAUCCUAUCCCUUACUUCAAAUUACUCAGCUAAGACCACCAAACCCCCCGUCAAGAAGGGCAAGAAGGGCAAGUCCGAGGCCGAUGCCAAAGCCGGUGACGACCCCUCCGCCUCUGCUGCUGCUUCCGACGACUUAGAUGCGGCUCUUUCUGAUGAUAAAAUCCGCGCCCGCCGUCUUGCUGCCGAGGAAAAUGAUACCUCACUUGAUGUUGGCCCGAAUGGCCGCCCACUCUUUACCUCCGCUUCUUCACUCUCACAGCUCACUCGCAAGGAUGCAGGAACUUAUUUCAAAUACAAGUACGUAUGUUUUCUACAUUGUUUGUGAGUUAAUAUUUUUUGGGAUUUUUAUUUAUUUCUUUGCGAAAUGGAAGUAUGGAAGGACUUAAUGAGGUACUGCCGGAGGGUUUGCCUGUGGGGAUGGUCAAGGAGUUUGAAGAGUCUAUACGAAGUGCUGUGCUUGUGCGGCAGAGUUUCUUGGAUCUCCGUGACAAUUUCAGGCGGGUGGUUGAUCCUUCAUUGCUGUCUCCGGCUGGUAUUACUUUUCUUCUACUCUCAUUUCUUCAGAUGGUUAUCGUGUUAUUUAGAUAUAUCGAAGAUACUGGUAAUUUAGGGUGGAGACUGGACUCUUGAACGUCUGAAUCUUUGGUCGAACAAAUGUAUUUAGCUAUUCAUAUUCAAAUGUCCAGGUUCAAAAAUUAGAAAACAGAUCGUCUUGGAUGGUCCAGUUAAUUGUGGAAAGAGUAUUGCGCUCGCCAUGCUCGUUCAAUGGGCUCGCGAAGAAGGUUGGCUAGUUUUAUAUGUUCCUAGUGGACGUCGGUGGACACAUGGAGGGUUCUUCUUUAAAAACCAUCAAACAGGACUUUGGGACACACCCGUUCAAGCUGAAGAUGUUCUGAGAGUGAGGACUUUUUCCUGCUACUUAAGAAUUAGAUUGAAGUACUGGCGUGUUUUUUUCAGGAUCUUCUAGUGCAUUUGUCAUGAUUAUGCAGGUCCAAAUUUCAAUAGUUUUCUUAUUGAAGUCUUUGGGAUCGCUACCUCAUGCUCUAUUUUUCCGUCUUUUCUAACUCUCAAACCUUGUAAUUGCAUCAGAUUUAGACAUGUAGUUUAAUGCUGUAUUUCCUAAUUCCAUUGAUGGAUGUUAAUUCUUACUAAACGUUGUUGAGAAUCUUGACAAGGGAAAUGAUCUCUCAUGAUCAUGAUUAUUCAUGGUAGCUGACUGGGAAAUGUUUUGCCUAGUGUUUACCGAUUUGUGAUGAGCUUUCAGGAGAUGAUGUGAGGACUUAGGAUAAAUAUAUAAUACUGAACAGUUGACUUAGACUUAUAUACUUUUCUUUGGCGGGCUGGUUUGGACCAGGAUUUUCUGAAGUACAAUGAGAUCCAGUUAAGACAAUUGCCGUGCCAAAUAUAUGAACCUAUACCGUUGGGAGAGGGUGCUGGUGUUGGGAUGGCUAAAGGUGCUGAUUCCAUGAGGAUGCCUGAAGGUUCUACUUUAUACGACUUAAUUGAUACUGGAAUCAAGCACACUCAUGUGGCUGUUGGGGUGGUAGUUCGUUUAAGAAAAGAACUAUCACUUGUGAAAGACAUUCCUGUGCUCAUUGCUAUUGAUCAAGUGAGACUCAAAUCUACAUCUACCCUUUAUUUGAUUUCUAAAAUGAAGUUUCUUGGACGAAUUAAACAUUCCAAAAUGAAUUUUGUUGCAAUAAUGAUUGUUACUUCUUGUCCAGUAUAACAACUGGUUUACAUUCAGUGAGUAUGAAGAACCAGUGACUGUUCGUUCAACUCGACCAAUACAUGCUAGAGAACUUGCAAUGGUUAGUACUACUUUGGAUUGAAAGUAUUGUGUUCUAGUUAAUUCUGUUUAUUACAAUUCAUUGGGCGUUCCUAGAAUAUCAUAUCGGUUUUUGUGUUUAGUAACUUACCUCAUGCAUUUUAGCUAGCCCCUCUACAUCCAUCAUUUUUGUAGUCCCUUUGCCUUGAAAUUUCAAUUUUUGCUGUGAAACUCAUGUCCUUCACUUCUUUUACCUAUUUUUCUGGUUAGAUGUUAGAGACUAAAACAUGACAGAUAGGGCGAUAUGAUUCAAAAAAGGAGAGUAAAGUUGAAAGAAUUAUGGAAUGAACGAUGGCUUUGUGCAUACAAGUGAAGAAAUAUAAUAGUUAUAGCUUUUUGUGGGAGUCUUUCUGAGUUACUUAUAAUUUUGCUGCGUGUUUCAAGUUUCAACUAUGUUUUCUCUUAAUCUUUUUUUAUUUGAUUUUUCCUAUCUUUUUCUUUUCCUAUUUCCCAUUUAGAUUAGCUUUGGAAAUGCACGGUUCAAUUUAUAUGAAUUUUGAUAGGUUUUUGAUUAUCCCAUAAAAAAGAAAAAGAAAAAAGAGGACAAAGAUCGGGUUUAAGGCAAUGGGGCUUAUUAAUAGAGUAUCAGAAUUAGGGAGUACAAAUAGAUCAUGAGGAGAAAGAGAAUUGGAAGACUCAUUCAAUAAUAUUAUGUCAAUGGCACAACUUGACCAGUGAGUUAAAAAUGGAAAACCCAAGUUUGACAAUAGUUCAGAAGUUCGGUUCUAAGUGGUUGGAGGAUGUAAAAGCUAGGUUCAAGUACACGUUUGACUCAAAUUUAGUUGUGUGCAGUAGAUUCUUGAAACUUAAAAAUUUACAAUAAGUUAAAUUUAUUAUAAGUUUUUAAAUCUUUUUAUAUUGUGUCGGGACAGAAGAAGAUUUGAAUCAUAUUCUUUGAAGUUGUGCUUUUGCAACAUCUAUUUGGAGUUUAUUUAUUUCUUGUGUUUGGUCCAUUUAGCCAUUGAGAUCAAGGGAGAUGGUUAAAGAGUUCCUUCCCAUUCUACCCUUUGCGAGAGGGAGAGGUUCCUAAUUCCUAUGGCAAGUUGGGGUUGGGGCUUUAGUGUGGAGUCUCAGGAGGAGUGGAACAAACAUAUCCUUUAGAGGAGUUGAGAGGGGGUUCUUGUGACAUUUGGUUACUUUGUCAGGUUUCAUGUAUCUCUUUAGGUGUGUGUUGUUGACGAAGUCUUUUUGUAAUUAUUUUCUAAGUCUUAUUCUUCUUGAUGAGAGUCAUUUAUCACUUUAAAGAGUUAUUUUUCUAGCCUUGGUGUUUUUGGAUGUCAUUGUAUUCUUUCAAAGUUGACCCUUUCUAAUUAUUAUUAUUAUUUUAUUACUAUUACUUUUUUACCUUAAUAAUUUGUCUCUAAAAACCAACUGAUUAGCCUUUGGAUUCUCAAGUUCAUGAACUUUCACUUGUGUGUCUAAAUAGGUUUCUAAUCUUUGAGACGCUAUUUAAAGUUCUAAGACUUGUUAGACUCAAAAUUAAUAACUUAAAGACAUUAAAAGCUCUUACCAUUAUAACCGUUCGGGAAUGUGUGAUAUUUUUAAAGUAAAGGUGCCUUGUACCCAUUAGACUCGGCUUUAAAAGUUUCAAACAAAAGAUUUUUUUUUCUUCCAAUCAAUGAUGAGAAUUUCUAAUCUUUGGCAGGUAAAAGCUUUUAGGUCUAUGAUGCAUGACGACAUGAUGGUUGGUGCUUUCUCCCAUUCAACUGCUGUAGGAAAGUUGCGUCAAGACUUGCCAGAUGUUCCUCUAGGUGCACGUGUUAAUUUCCCUCGCUACAGUCUUGAUGAAGCGGCUUCUGUUUUCCACUACUACCUCAGGUAUGCAGUAUGCUUAUGUGGUUCUUAUUUUGAAAGCAAACUAAUUUCACUGAAAUAAAUUAAGAAUUUAAUAUAAACUGAAAAAAUGAAUUACAAAAGAUUUGUUUGAUCAAGGAUUUAGAAUAAGCCCCCUAUUUGUCUAUGAUGGUAGAUCAGAGCUUUUAAAAAGAUGGUACGCCAACUCCCGUCUUUUGACCUAUAUUUUAAAAGCUUUCUUAUUUCGACAUUCUCAAGUCUUAUUGAUACUGGAUGAACUAGAAAGCUUGUUAAUUAACAACCAACCUAGGAGAAUCGUGUAGGUAUAGAAUCCUAUUAACGAGUUAAAGCCAUUUGAAAAAAAAAUCGAAAUACAGGAGGGACUAUAGUCAAGAAAACUACUAGAAUUUCUCCUACCGUGAUAAAUGCUGGCUUAGAGAAUAGUUAAAGAAGGAAGAGUAUUAAGAAAAACAACUGUAUUGGAAAACUAUCAAGAGUUCCAUCAACCCUUGGAAGUUUUGUUGCUGCAGAUUAGAGUUUCCUUGGCCAAAACAAUAGAGGUAGUUGCAUAAUUUUCAGUUCACAAGGUAGGGACACUGCUAACUGCUAAGAUUGAGGAUCCCUUUUGUAAUUGUUUACUGGUGGGAUGGUUGAUGAAGUCUAAUCGUUUACGUGAUUCUUUUCUAUGGGUAAGCAUUCAGUACAUUUGAGGGGAUUAAUAGUAAUGAACAAGAUGCGUAUUACUUCAUAAAGAUCUGUUAAAUGAAUGCCGUCUAUCUCUUUUUAGUCUAAAAUUUGAAGUUGCAUUUGCAUAUAUUCGUCUGCUUGGUUGCAUACUUGGCAUGAUUUUGAUUAGCUCACAGCCUGGUUUCUAUACAAAUGUUGCAUUGUAGGGGGAUUGUUUGCUUAGUUAGUUGUUUGUUUUCUUGACAGACAAAGACUGAUCCGUCGUGAAGCCUUCUCAGAGGAUGCCUGGAAAAAGAUAUACUAUUUGUCAAAUGGAAAUGGAGCGGAAAUGCGGUGGUUGGCACCAUUGAUGCGGUGACAACAAUGAGGCCUAUUUCCUUCCUGCCUGCUCGACUCUGGACUCGGUACCAUUGCUUAGUUCUCAUGGAGAUUCCUUCCCUCAGAAUCAGAUUCCCCUAACCUUCUCACUCUAUUCUACAUAUCAUAGGUUUGCUGCUCUCUAAUAAGGGCCACAUCAGAGAAUUAACCUUUUGUAGGGCACAAUUUUUAUAGUCUACCUACAUUCUUCAGUAAGCUGUCAUCUUUAAUGGAAAAACUUGAGAUACUUUGCCCAUUUUGGUCAUUCAUUUUGCAAUAGUUUUCCGCACUUACCUAUUCUAUUUCUUUCAUUGUUGGCUUAAAUACCAUUUUGUUCUUCAACUCUUUUUUGUUCUACAUCUUUUACCAUAAAAUUUUAGUUCCUGUACACAAGUCCCCCAAUUACCAUAUCAAUUUUAGUUCAUGGCUAUUGUCUUUUCUUUUAUAUAUGCUCAAAUUGGACAGAAAAAAAGUGUUCUAGUUUUGCAAAAAAAAUUAUCAUGUCCAUAACUUUUGUUAAUAAUUUUCACAAUAGAUCUAACUUACCACUUAAUCUUUUUUAAAACUAAAAAAAAAUAUCGAACUCAAAUGUUUCUAUGAAAAGUGACUUUUUUUUUUGGUUGGGGUAGUAAAUGGUUUGAAGAAGAAUAGAAAGACAAAAACUAAACAAUUAUAAAGUAAGGUUUUAUAUUAAACAAUAUCUUGAAAUGAUACGGGAGGAAAAUUGCCAAUGACAAACAUGGGCCUAAGACCCGACCCGACAACCAGCUAUCCGGGUCGAACCAAGCGGUUCUACAAGGGUCCGGUCAUAUUCCCAUUCGGGUUCGGUUUAAGCUACUAAAAAUUCUCCCCCUCCAUUUCGGACGCCCCAACAAAAAUCUCACUCUCUUUCUCAAGUUUCUCCUCCAAUUCCUCCGCCGGAAUCAAUGUCUUUCACACUGACUGCGCCUCCGUCUUCGAUCUCUCCAUUCUGAUCGACGUCAAGAACACCGGAACCGUCGACGGAUCUCACACCACUAUCGUCUUCUCAACCGCUCCAAACCAGAUCUGGUCGUACUUGAUCGGAUUCGAAAAGGUCCAUAUCAUGGCCUGGAUCUUAGAAGCGAGUUCGAAUCGAAAUUAUGUUAAAAUUACAGAGAAGUAAUUAAAAAGGUAAAUUGAUUGUAAAUUAAAAAAAAAAUCAAAUAGGUUGAAGAAGAAAAUUGGAAGUAAUUGUGAUUAUAAGAUGUUUGGUAUCGAAAAGUAAGAUUGUGCCUCAAACGCAGCAAAUUUGCGAGGGGCUAUUUAUGUAGUUUUUUUUAAUUGUAAAUUCGUUUUCCUAAUGAAGGUACGGUUGGCUCUUUAUUUUAUACUACUUUAUUAUAUAUCUCUUUUCUUUCUUUUUCUCCCCCAACUAUUGCACUCAGAACGCAGUGAAAUGUAAAAAUCAAUGUUAAAAUGCAUAAAUCAACGUAAAAAAAAAGGGUUGGUUGAGAACGAUGGGAAGAAAAUGUGAUAGAGAUGACAAACGAAGCACAAAACCCUCAAACGUGGGCUUGAGAUUACAAGCCAUCACAUCCUAGUCUCCCAAAUAGAUCAUGAUUAAGGACAUAG